rnacentral:lncRNA from 1 species
CGGCAUUAUCCACCUUCGAAGCGGUGGUUUCACCUGCAGUCUGAUCCUCCAACUUCUCCCCAUUACAAUAGACCUCUCCACCAUAAUGCCACGGCACGGCGUCAUCUUUGUCAUAAGGAAUUGGCCCAGGUACCGUGAUAGUAACUGGAGCCGCAUCUGCCAGCGUUGACAAAUCGACCGGGUCGAAGUAAAUGGUUAUGGUGGAGACAUCUUCCUUCACCA